AAGACAUUACUCAUACGUUUCGGUCGACAAAGUCACUUGGUUUCAUGAAAUUGUAUUGCCGAAAAGGCAUCAAAUUAGUGCUAAAACCCUAAUCAAGUUAAAAUCAACGAUAUUUGGCUCAUAGUUAAGAGAGAUUCCUAAGAGAUACUGACAUGGCGUACAACCGUGGAUAUUCAUUUGAGGGGAAAGUUGGCAACUACUUGAGAGAUAGAUACGGCAGUUCGAAUGUCCAGUCACAAGUAUCAAUGAAUGGAAGCUAUGCUGACUUUGUUGUGAAUAUUGGCUGUUGGCCAUGUAAUGAAACGCUUGUAUGGGAAGCAAAGUCUUCAGAGAAGAUCGUUAAAGAAUACGUAUUCCAGGCAGCGAGAAUUGCUAAAGGAUAUGGGAAAGCUAUCCUUGCAAUUGGGCGGAGUGCAAACGUUUCUGAAACCGUAUACCUACACGCACGCGAUAGUAAUGUUAAGAUAGAACGCAUGUAUUUUGAUUACUAGUUCGCUGUGAAUUGUAUUAAUCACUUAUUGUGGGACAAGGGUUUAAUAGGCCUAAUACGUAUUUGAAUCCUAUAUGUAAGCCCUAAAGCUAGAAUAAGAGAGUGACAUAAAUUAAUAACCAAAAUACGUAACUUGUAUAGGCCUACAAUAAAGGGGACGCCGAACAUUUCUGAGUGUGCCAAAUGUUCAGAUCGAUCCCUAUUUAACCACUGUUAUUUUUGUGAUCUUUUACAACAAAUACAAUGAACUUAUUUCUUUUCCUGCAAACUAUUAUUUUGAAGACUAUUGAGUCAUAAACUUAAUAUGAAACCAGAAUUUCAUUUCCCAUAUUUUAUUUAGUUAAAUGACAUUUUUUGGAGACACUUCUGGAUUUUGAUUCAUAAAAAUGGAUAUCAGACUAAUUAAAUGGUCAGGUCUUCAGAAUUUCCAGUUAAGUUUUGUUUUACGUCCGAAGUGAAUUUGAUGGAAUUCUUCGUGUCACUUCGGCAAGUUUGGCCCUUUGCCAUGGAUUUACUUUAAUACAUAAAUAUAAAUCCAUAACCUGCACCCUGCCAUUAAUAUUAAUGUACUCAUUUAGACUUACUUUUAUAUAUUCAUUCUAACCUGUGCAUCCAAUAGUAAAUUCUAUUGUUAAAAAGAAUUGUUUAUUGGUAGCACAUAACUCAUCAAGUUCCGUGGUUAUAACAAAAUAUAGGCCUAUGUUGACUUUACAUCAAAUAUAGGCCUAUUUUGUUUUCAAUAAAAUCUUCUAAAAAUUA